UACGAAGGGGGCUAGCGUUGUUCGGAUUUACUGGGCGUAAAGCGCACGUAGGCGGGUUGUUAAGUCAGGGGUGAAAUCCCGGGGCUCAACCUCGGAACUGCCUUUGAUACUGCAAAUCUCGAGUCCGAUAGAGGUGGGUGGAAUUCCUAGUGUAGAGGUGAAAUUCGUAGAUAUUAGGAAGAACACCGGUGGCGAAGGCGGCCCACUGGAUCGGUACUGACGCUGAGGUGCGAAAGCGUGGGGAGCAAACAGG
rnacentral:rRNA from 1 species